rnacentral:misc_RNA from 1 species
CCAAACUUGGUCAUUUAGAGGAAGUAAAAGUCGUAACAAGGUCUCCGUAGGUGAACCUGCGGAGGGAUCAUUACAGAGUGUAAAAACUCCCUCAACCCACUGUAAACUUUACCUGUCUGUUGCUUCGGCAGGCGGCCCCAGGGCGGGGCCGUAGCUGCUGUGCAGCGCCUGCCGGAGGACCAAAAACUCUUGUUUAUUAUGUUACUCUGAGUAAAAAGACAAAUUAGUCAAAACCUUCAACAACGGAUCUCUUGGUUCUGGCAUCGAUGAAGAACGCAGC